AGCCUUGGGGGAGGUUCCAGCGGCACGGCGUCCCAAGUCUCGGUCGCCCGACUCGUGCCGAUAGCCAAUGGCGAGACCGACCUCGGCGGAG
rnacentral:ncRNA from 1 species